rnacentral:rRNA from 1 species
UACGUAGGGUGCAAGCGUUUGUCCGGAAUUAUUGGGCGUAAAGAGCUCGUAGGCGGUUUGUCGCGUCGAAUGUGAAAACCCGGGGCUCAACCCCGGGCCUGCAUUCGAUACGGGCAGACUAGAGUUCGGUAGGGGAGUCUGGAAUUCCUGGUGUAGCGGUGAAAUGCGCAGAUAUCAGGAGGAACACCGGUGGCGAAGGCGGUUCUCUGGGCCUGUACUGACGCUGAGAAGCGAAAAGCAUGGGGGAGCGAACAGG